AAGAGAGAGAGAGAGAGAGAGAGAGAGAAUUUUAAUAUUUAUUUUUUAGUUUUCGGCAGACACAACAUCUUUGUUUGCUGAUUGGUGCCCUUAAAGUCCUCACAGACACCUGGCGCAGGUGAUUGGAUUAAGCCUAGUGACGUAAGACUUUUAGGGCAUCUCUUAUUCUCACUGGAGUCCCGAAGUAACUCUGGGAGGCGGAGCGGGGCUGAGUGCAGGGCUUUGUUCCUCCCUCCACCCUCAGACUGCCCAAAUCGCUAGAUCGCUUCCCUCCUGCUCGGGCCUGGGAAAUCACUUAUAUUUGCUCAGGGAAUUAAGACUCGCCGAAUCCUGCCGCUUACGUCAUCCCAUCGAAUCUUUAAUUUCUUUUUGCAGACGAGGACACAGCCUUGACAAGGUAAAGAAUUUCAUCGUAUGCCACUCAUUAUUAGUGGAGGAAAAACUUAAGUUGAUCUUUUGGGAAAGCCUUCCUGGAGCACCUUACAACAAGUAGAACCCCGCCCCUCUUUGUCCCCUUAUACUUUUGCUUCCUUUUAUAAACACAUAUAGUGCCACUUGAAAUAUUUUUCUCUCCUCCAAUAGGACGUUCUUAUUAUAGAAAGGACUUUUGUUUUCUCCUGUAUCUUUAAACAGUCCUUGGCAUUUGGAAUUAAUAAAUGAAUAAAAG
rnacentral:lncRNA from 1 species